UUCCAUGGUGACGGCAAACAAGGCCCACACUGGACGGGGCAGCUGCUGGGCUGCUACUCUCGCCGCCGCCAUGAUUCCCCCCGCAGAUUCUUUGCUCAAGUACGACACCCCUGUACUGGUGAGCCGGAACACGGAGAAACGGAGCCCCAAGGCUCGGCUACUGAAAGUCAGCCCCCAGCAGCCUGGACCUUCAGGUUCAGCCCCACAGCUACCCAAGACCAAGCUCCCCUCAGCUCCCUGUGUCCCAGAUCCUACAAAGCAAGCAGAAGAAAUCUUGAAUGCCAUACUACCCCCAAGGGAGUGGGUGGAAGACACGCAGCUAUGGAUCCAGCAGGUGUCCAGCACCCCUAGCACCAGGAUGGACGUGGUGCACCUCCAGGAGCAGUUAGACUUAAAGCUGCAGCAGCGGCAGGCCAGGGAAACAGGCAUCUGCCCUGUCCGCAGGGAACUCUACUCACAGUGUUUUGAUGAGUUGAUCCGGGAGGUCACCAUCAACUGUGCGGAGAGGGGGCUGCUGCUGCUGCGAGUCCGGGACGAGAUCCGCAUGACCAUCGCUGCCUACCAGACCCUGUACGAGAGCAGUGUGGCGUUUGGCAUGAGGAAGGCACUGCAGGCUGAGCAGGGGAAGUCAGACAUGGAGAGGAAAGUGAGUGGGGUUUACCGUGACCCUUGGCCCCGUCUCUUCUGUAAACCGCAGGGCCAUGUGCUUGUCAUUCCAGCACUACAUUCUGGCCUCCUAAGGUGCUCUCCUGACAGUCACGACACUUGGACCUGCAUCACCUCAGUGAGGGACCCCUGGUUGAGUAUGAUGGCCAGCCUGGUGGUCUUGGCAGAGUUGUCUCCGCUGUGGACGCUCCAUGCCAGGCACUGACCUCCCACUGGGUGGCAGUAUAUACCCUGGCAAUGUCUUAUGUCCCAUGUCCCUUCCACCCAGGCUCACACCAUUCCAUUCACCUGGCAACAUCCCAGGAUGACUGGUCAUUCUCUCCUCAGAUUGCAGAAUUGGAGACGGAAAAGAGAGACCUGGAGAGGCAAGUGAACGAGCAGAAGGCAAAAUGUGAAGCCACCGAGAAGCGGGAGAGCGAGAGGCGGCAGGUGGAGGAGAAGAAGCACAAUGAGGAGAUUCAGUUCCUAAAGCGGACGAAUCAGCAGCUGAAGGCCCAACUGGAAGGCAUUAUUGCACCAAAGAAGUGAUAAUUUCCACAUGAUAAUUUCCAACAAGACACUUGGGAUUAUUUACUAUGUUCUUCUGGCAGCAAAUAAAAUCAUCAUAAGCCCUUUGUAAUAAAAAGCGUUUCCUGAGUGAGCAAGCUAUACCCUCCCCUAACCACCACCUAGGUAUUUGUCAGAAGUCACACUAUUGCUCCAAUGUCAUGAAACACCUAAGGUCUGCCAGCUAGGCUGCUGGCUGGGCAAUGGAAGAUGGUGUGGCCCUGUUAAUCUAAGUGUGUGGCUUACUAGUCAGCCUUGGGAUCUGCCAGCUCAAAUUCUAAGAAAGUAACUGCUAUCUCGUCAUCACUCUAUACCAAUACUUACUUCUGGCCAAAUGAAUCUGCUUCUCUGCUCCUUAAACUUUUAGUUCACAAUUCAUCUUCUACCUUAACUAACUUGGGCUUCUUGGGCCUCUGGCCUUCCUUAUUUAAUGUCUUCUUAUCCUUGCUCGAAUGCAUUUCUAACUCAUUUUGGAGCUUUGGUUUUCUAAUGUAUUAUCCACACUUACCAGUCAACUGGACCCCUUCCUCCUCGGUUUCAGACUGCCUACGUUAGGAAACGAUGGCAGGGUCAAACCUAUGGCUUUGGAGAAAGUAAAUGUUUGCCAGAAAGGAAUACUAGUCACAGUGGCCUUUGAGUUGUCUGCAACUCAGCUCUUCCCCCAGCACCGAUCUGUUCCCCUUAUCCUGCAGAAAAUCAAGCCCAGACUCUGCACUCCCCUAAGUAGUGAUGUUAAUUAACAACUGAAGAGGUAACCAAAUGCAGGUCUAAUGACUAAUGAUUGGAGUAUGGCUGCUAGACAACUGCAUUUUAGUAUCUCUUCCACUCUCCUGGUUUUGUAGACCCAGAAGACUGAAUGAGUGACAUAAAUCUUUAGUUCAGGGCAAGGCAGGAUGGGCUAGGGUGGUAAGCUGGAGAACUUCCAUCCUUCAGUUAGGCUGCACAAGUAACAUGACCUAAAAGGCACUAACAUGCUCAGCUUCCCCAGAAAGAGGUGUGAGAAGGGACUCUCCUUAGCAGAGCUUCCAUCUGCCAUCUGUCUUGGGUCCAGUGAGCUUCAAGGCUCACAAUGGAAGCACUGUCGUUCCCCCAGAAAAGCUGUGUUCACCAUACACAUUCUCAUCUGGAAUCUAAGGGGCAGCUUUUACCCUGAUCCAGUAUCCUGAGGAAUUUUAAGGCUCCACUCAAAUGACCUGCCUGUGUUGUCAUUUCCAUGGGAAAGAACUCUUUCCACGAGAUCUGCUGGUUCCAGGACUCUAAGACAGGAAUGUAUGUGUCGUAAGUGGGUCCACUUCACAGACUCAUUGAGGCAGAAAUUACUGUAGCUUUCUCCUAUUUCUUCCGCACCCAGCCUUCUUGUAUCUCAAAGCCCAGGCCAUGUACACUAACGUCCUUGAAAUUUGCAGUUCAGUAUGCUUCUAUUCCAAAUCACUCAUUACCAAUAAAAAAGAAAUAUCACCCUUUCCAUUUUGUAGACCUCGUCCCCUAUUUCUGUCAGACAUUUAUAUGACAGGGUGACUGUGGAUGAAUCUUAGUUCAUCCACAGUCUACCUGAAGUGCUACACUUUCAGACUCUUAUCACUGAAAUCCUUAAGGGUGAGGAGGCUUUAUUUCCCUAGCACUGGUGAAGGGCUUCAACUGUCAAACCUCAGAACAAAUGCAUUAUGGCCUUAGAAAUGCCAAUGGGGCAGGAAGAAAACACAAUUUCUAAUUGCAUGUUUUUGUAUAAUUUAAUAAAAACCUUUUAAACAUUA